UACGUAGGGUGCGAGCGUUAAUCGGAAUUACUGGGCGUAAAGUGUGCGCAGGCGGCCGAGCAAGUCGAGUGUGAAAGCCCCCGAGCUUAACUUGGGAACUGCGCUCGAAACUACUUGGCUAGAGUGUGGCAGAGGGAGGUGGAAUUCCACGUGUAGCGGUGAAAUGCGUAGAGAUGUGGAGGAACACCGAUGGCGAAGGCAGCCUCCUGGGCCAACACUGACGCUCAUGCACGAAAGCGUGGGGGAGCAAACAGG
rnacentral:rRNA from 1 species